rnacentral:rRNA from 1 species
CCUACGGGAGGCAGCAGUAGGGAAUAUUGCUCAAUGGGGGAAACCCUGACGCAGCAACGCCGCGUGGGGGAUGAAGGUUUUCGGAUUGUAAACCUCUUUUGUUAGAGAAGAUAAUGACGUUAUCUAACGAAUAAUCACCUGCUAACUCCGUGCCAGCAGCCGCGGUAAUACGGAGGGUGCAAGCGUUACUCGGAAUUACUGGGCGUAAAGAGCGCGUAGGCGGGAUAGCAAGUCAGAUGUGAAAUCCUAUGGCUUAACCAUAGAACUGCCUUUGAAACUGGCAUUCUGGAGUAUGGGAGAGGUAGGUGGAAUUCUAGGUGUAGGGGUAAAAUCCGUAGAGAUCAAGAGGAAUACCCAUGGCGAAGGCGACUUUCUAGAACAUAACUGACGCUGAGGCGCGAAAGCGUGGGGAGCAAACAGGAUUAGAUACCCCUGUAGUC